GAUGAACGCUGGCGGCGUGCCUAACACAUGCAAGUCGUACGAGCUCGAUCUUCGGAACGGGUUAGUGGCGCACGGGUGAGUAACACGUAGGUGACCUACCCCAGAGUGGGGGAUAACUUCUCGAAAGAGAGGCUAAUACCGCAUACACUCGGUCAUUCAUUUGGCCGAGCAAAGCUCCGGCGCUUUGGGACGGGCCUGCGUCCGAUUAGCUAGUUGGUAGGGUAAUGGCUUACCAAGGCUUUGAUCGGUAGCUGGUCUGAGAGGACGAUCAGCCACACUGGCACUGGCACACGGGCCAGACUCCUACGGGAGGCAGCAGUGAGGAAUAUUGGGCAAUGGGCGAAAGCCUGACCCAGCAACGCCGCGUGAGGGAUGAAGGCCUCGGUUGUAACUCUUUCUGGUAGAGAGACAAGGACGGUAUCCCAGGAAUAAGUACUCGGCUAACUACGUGCCAGCAGCCGCGGU
rnacentral:rRNA from 1 species